GGGCCUCUAGCUCAUGCCUGGUUAGAGCAGCGGACUCAUAAUCCGUUGGUGCCCGGUUCGACUCCGGGGAGGCCUA
rfam:Massilia sp. NR 4-1, complete genome.